CGGGGGGGCAAGCGUUGUUCGGAAUUACUGGGCGUAAAGGGCGCGUAGGCGGUCCGCUAAGUUGGAUGUGAAAACUCUGGGCUUAACCCAGAGCCUGCAUUCAAAACUGACGGGCUAGAGUUCUGGAGGGGGUAGCGGAAUUCCUGGUGUAGCGGUGAAAUGCGUAGAUAUCAGGAGGAACACCGGUGGCGAAGGCGGCUACCUGGACAGAAACUGACGCUGAGGCGCGAAAGCUAGGGGAGCAAACAGGAUUAGAUACCCUGGUAGUCCUAGCCCUAAACGAUGGAUACUUGGUGUGACUGGGAUUGAAUCCAGUCGUGCCGAAGCUAACGCAUUAAGUAUCCCGCCUGGGGAGUACGGUCGCAAGGCUG
rnacentral:rRNA from 1 species